rnacentral:misc_RNA from 1 species
AUAUCAUUGACAUUCAUUUGACAUCCAUAAGUUUCAUGAUAGAUGCGUCCUCUAGGCAUAACGUCAGAUAUCAUCACAGACUCCUGCUGAACAUCGGAAGAAGAAACAGUCUGAGUAGCUUUGGGUAUGAAGUCACGGAGGGUUGGAAUUUGGUUCUUGCUGGUUAAGGAAGUGCGGGAGUGACACUGCGAGAAAUUCCUGGAUAUCUUGAUAGAGAAUGUAGAACUCCUCCCAAGAGAAACUGAGGUGCGGCGGGAGGAGGUUGAUUGAACUUCAAG